rnacentral:rRNA from 1 species
UGGGGAAUAUUGCACAAUGGGCGCAAGCCUGAUGCAGCCAUGCCGCGUGUGUGAAGAAGGCCUUCGGGUUGUAAAGCACUUUCAGCGAGGAGGAAAGGUUGAUGCUUAAUACGUAUCAACUGUGACGUUACUCGCAGAAGAAGCACCGGCUAACUCCGUGCCAGCAGCCGCGGUAAUACGGAGGGUGCAAGCGUUAAUCGGAAUUACUGGGCGUAAAGCGCACGCAGGCGGUUGGAUAAGUUAGAUGUGAAAGCCCCGGGCUCAACCUGGGAAUUGCAUUUAAAACUGUCCAGCUAGAGUCUUGUAGAGGGGGGUAGAAUUCCAGGUGUAGCGGUGAAAUGCGUAGAGAUCUGGAGGAAUACCGGUGGCGAAGGCGGCCCCCUGGACAAAGACUGACGCUCAGGUGCGAAAGCGUGGGGAGCAAACA